rnacentral:sRNA from 1 species
GGGGACGCGGGCGGCAGAAAGUGGAGCUGGGCUGGUGUGCGCGCGCGGCCGGAGUCUGUGGAGCUGGAAAUUCACCGGUCCAGGAAGACGUCUUUCCCGCGUCCCAGCACCUCGGGCCACGCUCCUUCGUGAGAGCGCCCUCUCCAAGGAGGCCAGCCCUGGAUAUUUCACCCAAAAUAUUUAUUUUUUCUUUUUUUCUAGCUGGAGUGCAGUUGCCUGAUCUCAGCUCACUGCAACCUCCACCUCCCAGGCUCAAGCUAUCCUCCUGCCUCAGCCUUCCAAGUAGCUGGGACCACAGGUUCUCCCUCUGUCACCCAGAGCUGGAGUGCGGUGGCAUAAUCACAGCUAAUUGCAGCCUCAACAUUCCAGGCCCAAGGAUCCUCCCUUCAGCCUUCCAGAGUCGGGGUCUCCCUAUGUUUCCCAGGCUGGCCUCGAACUCCUGACCUCAA